rnacentral:lncRNA from 1 species
CUCACUCAAGGUCACACACCUAGUUAAUAGGGAGUCUAGCUUCAAACCCACAUCUGACUGAAUCUAAUUCCACCUACAGCUUUGAAGGCUCAGAAAACAUAACUGCUUGAAAAACUGAGUUAACUCUAUGACUGCCAGGACAAAAGCUUAGGAUUUAGAAAUGAAACAAUGAAUAAGUAGACAUUUUGCUCUCAUUUUGUUAUUUUUUACUUUAUUUUCCAAAUAUGUUUAGGUUAAAGAAAAGAACAUGGGAUUUAGAGUCAAAUAGGCAGGUGUUUUGAUUCUACCCUUGCUAACCCUGUGACCUUUGGCUAGGCCUUAGGCCAUUUACGUCUGCUCUACCUGUUCUCCUUCUGGGACCCAGACUUAAGAAGCAGUAUCACUUUUGCAAUGUGUUUUUCUCAUGGUGGAAGGCUAAACCCCAAGUGAAGCGACCAGCAAUAAAUACUCAGGUGACUCUAAUGGAAGCCAAAGCAAUGCCAUAUGACAAAGGCAUUGGAUGUUCAUUCAUUUUCCAAGAAAGGGGUAAAAGGACAGCCUACGUUGUCCAGUGGAGGCAGCCUUCCCAUUCCAACGGACAUUUGUGGGAUAUUAGAGACCAAGAAGUGUUAAGAGAUGAUCUUCACAAAAUGCUGAGCUUGUGUGGGUGUCGAACUACAAACAGGAGGAGAUGGAUAUUCACAUGCAGUGGUGGAGGGUUAUGGCUCUCCAGCCUGGAGGAUUGGAGCUUGAGCCAGGAAAGAAGCUUUCAUUUGCAUCAAUAUGCUAGUCCAUGGAGUACACAGAUUGUUCUACAAACCAUAUGGUGACUAAGCCUCAUUAUUGAAUGCAGUUGACAUGGAAACAACUAGUCAACAUCAAAUAAAUAGAUUAUUUUGUGCAAAUAGCUGCCUCUUUGUGACAAUAAUAAAUACUUUAUUUGUAUCAGGAAAAUGUCUAACAAUAAUUCAAUGACAAUUAACAAUACCUUUAUG